CUUACGUUUCUUACCAUGUAGAAACUUCUGGUGGAGAAAAAGGUGAGGUACUUACGUACAAGGAUGCGGAUGUUGACAUUGAUGCUGGUUCAGAACUUGUUAGGAGAAUAGCAAAGAUGGAUCCUGGAAUUGGUGGUUUUGGUGGACUUUUCCCUUUGGGGGAUUCGUAUCUGGUGGCUGGUACAGACGGAGUGGGUACCAAACUUAAGCUGGCUUUCGAGACUGGAAUCCAUGAGACCAUUGGCAUUGAUUUGGUUGCAAUGAGUGUUAACGAUAUUAUCACUUUUGGGGCGAAGCCCUUGUUUUUCCUUGAUU